GUCUUUGAGAGGGCCCAGCCAACAUUCCAGACAGGACAGUGUUAUCCAUCUUCUACAUCUUCAACCUCCAAUAUCAACAUGAGGCAGCCAAGACUUUGGAGUUCAUUCAACGUCGCUUCAUUGGGAUUAACCCAGAAAGGGGCACAAAAGCCGGUCAUGGGAAGAUGGUAUCCAAAAAGACAGGAAAGACCAUU